rnacentral:rRNA from 1 species
CCUACGGGCGGCAGCAGUGGGGAAUAUUGGGCAAUGGAGGCAACUCUGACCCAGCAACGCCGCGUGAAUGAUGAAGGUCUUCGGAUUGUAAAGUUCUGUGAUGGGGGAUGAACACAAUGACGGUACCCCAAUAGCAAGCCACGGCUAACUACGUGCCAGCAGCCGCGGUAAUACGUAGGUGGCAAGCGUUAUCCGGAAUGACUGGGAGUAAAGGGUGCGUAGGUGGGUUAGUAAGUUGGCGGGGUAAUUCCGGGGCCCAACCUCGGCGCUACCGCCAAAACUAUUAGACUAGAGUGCGGGAGGGGUAAGUGGAAUUCCUAGUGUAGCGGUGGAAUGCGUAGAUAUUAGGAGGAACAUCAGGGGCGAAGGCGACUUACUGGACUGUAACUGACACUGAGGCACGAAAGCGUGGGGAGCAAACAGGAUUAGAUACCCCAGUAGUC